rnacentral:lncRNA from 1 species
UCGGGUAGUAUUUAAUAUCGGGAUUCCAAAAACAUAAAAAUUAUAAUAAAAAAGAACUAAAUUGACUAACCAAUUGAGCUUGAAACUUUGAACCCCUAAGGCCCUUCGUCUUUUUCCUUUUUUCUUUUUCUUUCCUUUUUCUAUUCUGUUUCGUUUGGCUUUCUUUGUUUGUUUGUUUCUAUUUCUUUUUUGUUUUUAUUAUUAUUAUA